UACGUGGGGGGCAAGCGUUGUUCGGAAUUAUUGGGCGUAAAGGGCGCGUAGGCGGUGCGGUAAGUCAGCUGUGAAACCUCUAGGCUCAACCUAGAGCCUGCAGGCGAAACUGCCGUGCUUGAGGGUGGGAGAGGUGCGUGGAAUUCCCGGUGUAGCGGUGAAAUGCGUAGAUACUGGGAGGAACACCGGUGGCGAAGGCGGCCGCCUGGACCUGACCUGACGCUGAGGCGCGAAGGCGUGGGGAGCAAACAGG
rnacentral:rRNA from 1 species